rnacentral:rRNA from 1 species
GCUGGAGUUGCUAGUAACCGCGAAUCAGCAUGUCGCGGUGAAUACGUUCCCGGGCCUUGUACACACCGCCCGUCACACCAUGAGAGUUGGCAAUACCCAACGUACGUGAUCUAACCCGCAAGGGAGGAAGCGUCCUAAGGUAGGGUCAGCGAUUGGGGUGAAGUCGUAACAAGGUAUC